ACAAAAGUGUAGAGGAAGGAUUUUAUUAGGAGGUUGGGGCAAGACUAGCAUGAAAAAAAAACUUCAUUAUCCAUUCAGGCAAGACAUUUAAAAAAAAAAAAUUUAAUGCUUUUUGUGUUUGGUAUUGAAGCGUUUUCACCAACCCACUUUGCGUUUUGCAAGCAAUAAGCAUAUGUAGGCUGACCAAUACCACACUAAAAAUGGUGAUAUUAGAUCUUCUUUUCCUCCGAACCCCACCACCCUCUUCCCCCUUUUCAUCUAUGUCUAUAAUCACGACAUAUAAACAAAAUCUUAUUCUAUUUCUAUUUUUAUUUUAACUACAAAGGAGGUUUUUUUAAUUGAAGAACAAAGGAUAAUUGAUGCCCUACCUCAACAACUAGAGAAAACUCUCCCAC
rnacentral:lncRNA from 1 species